rfam:Otolemur garnettii contig063003, whole genome shotgun sequence.
GCCGGAUGCGGUGGUGCACGCCUAUAGUCCCAGCUACUCGGGAGGCUGAGACAGGAGGAUAGCUUGAGUCCAGGAGUUCUGGGUUUAGUGUGUUAUGCCAAUUGGGUGUCUACACUAAUUUUGGCAUCAAUAUGGUGACCUCCCGGGAGCGGGGGGGCCACCAGGUUGGCUAAGGAUGGGUGAACCAGCCCAGGUCAGAAACAGAGCAGGUCAAAACUCCCGUGUUAAUCAGUAGUGGGAUCAUGCCUGUGAAUAGCCACUGCACUCCAGCCUAGGCAACAUAGCAAGUCCCUGUCUCUU